GCGGGGACGGGGACGUGGGGACGGGAUGUUGGGGGUGGGACGUAGGGAUAGGAUGUGGGGUGGCCAUGGGGACCGUGUGACAGGGCUGGCGGAAGCGCCUCCGUGCCCUGCACAGCUGGGGGUGACUGCUAGGGCCCGGCUGCUUUGCAUGGGCGGCUGUGACGCAGCUGCGUCCCCUGGGCCCCCCGGCCGCCCUGGGAAAGGUCCCCACACCCACGGGUGCCCAUGGCCGGAACAGGAACGGGGUACAGUGAGGGCUGGGGGACACCGCGGUGACGGCAGCCGCUGUGCCCCCGGCCUCUUCUCCCUCCCAGCCCAAUUCCUCAGCCUCGCAGGCGCCCAGCCCCCCCUGCUGACGCUGGACCCCCCCUGGACGCCCGUGUUCAAGGGGCAGAAGGUGACGCUGACCUGCGGGACCCCCGACGAGCACAUCCCCACCGCGUGGAACAUCGGCGGCAGGAACAAGAGGAGCAAAGCCAGCCACCUCCAGGCCUCCCUGCAGAACACCGGCCGCAGCAGCAUCCAGUGCCAGAGGUCCGACUCCAAGUUCAGCCUCUCCAUCGAGCUGAGCGUCUCUGACGACUCGGUGGUGCUGCAGGUGCCGGUGCAGCCGGUGCUGGAGGGGGACGCGCUGGUGCUGCGGUGCCGGAGCUGGUGGGAAAGGACGCUGAGCAGCGUGAGCUUCUUCCACAACGGGGUGCUGCUGCGGGGGGGCGGGCAGGGGGAUGAUCUGCUGCUCGCCCCUGCGCAGCAGCACCACAGCGGCCGCUACCACUGCGCGGGACGCCUGUACAGCGUCCUGAAGGCAGAGUCCAAGACAAACGAGGUCGUUGUGCACGGUGAGCACGGGCAGGGGGCAGCGGGGACGGGGGCACGGCAGCGGGGUCACCGUCCCUGCUCGGCCCCUUCCCCAGAGCUCUUCUCAGUGCCGGAGCUGAGCGUGGACGGUCCCCGGGACCCCCCUGAGGGCAGCGCCCUCACCCUGGCCUGCGUCACCCGCGGCAGCCCCCUGCGGCCCCGCGUCGCCCUGCGGCACCUCUUCUACCGGGACGGGGUGGUGGUGGCGGGGCCCCAGGGGUCCCCCCAGCACCUGCUGUGGGCGCUGGCGCUGCCCGACUCGGGCUCCUACGCCUGCGAGGCACGGGCAGAGGCGGCCAACGUGCAGAAACGCAGCGCCCCGGUCACCAUCACCGUGAGAAGGGUGCCCGUGGCGGGGGUGACCCUGGCGGCGCAGCCCCCCGGGGCGCAGGUGGCCGCGGGGGAGAGCCUGGUGCUGAGCUGCGCGGUGGCGGCGGGCACGGGGCCGCUCGUCUUCUCCUGGCACCAGCAGGGCCAGGCCCAGCCGCUGGCCCAGGGGCCCCGCUAUGAGCUGCCGGCGGCGCGGCCGGAGGACGGCGGCCACUACUUCUGCAGGGCCACCAACGGCGUCACCGCGGCCACCAGCCCGCAGCUGCACGUCACCGUCGUGGGUGAGCACCGUGCCGGGGGACGAUCCCCGGUCACCUCCCCGGUGCUGAUCCCGCUCCCGUCCCCUCUCCCAGUGCCCGUGGCCGGUGCCACCGUGAGGGUGGCGGGGACGGAGGUGGCGGUGACGGAGGUGGCGGGGACGGAGGGCGAGCGCCUCAACCUGAGCUGCGCGGUGCAGGCGGGCACGGCGCCCGUGGCCUUCACGUGGCUGCGGGACGGGGAGGAGAUGGGCGAGGGCCCCAUCCUGCCCCUGGGGACCCUGGGGCUGGGCCACGCUGGCACCUACCAGUGCGUGGCCACCAACCAGCUGGGUGCCCGGCGCGCCUUCCAGGUGCUCAGCCCCUCUGUGGCCCUCUCGGUGACGCGGCGGAGACAGGGGCAGUGGCGGGGACAAGCCCUGGCCGGGGGGCUGAGCACGUCCCUGCUGGUCCUGCUGGCUGCCUCCGCCGUGCUGGGCUGGCACCUCUGGCGCCGGCGUCACCCAGCGGCCAAAAAGAGCCAGGAGAGGGACCCCACAGCCCCUCCGGGUCCCUCUGCCCCAGCUGUCCCCAGCACGGACACGUCGGAGCCCGACUACAGCAACGUGUGUCCCGAGGAUGUGGUUUACUCGGCUGUCAUCAUCACAGAGCAGGGAGGGGGUGGCCGCGUGCCCCCAUCGGGCCCCGCUGCCCCCCAGGAGCCGUUUGUCACCUACGCGGUGCUGCGAGGGCCCCGCGGUGCCACCGGCCCCAGGGGACUGCGGCGGGUCCCCAGCGACAGCUACGAGAACGUCCCCUGCGCGUGACACCCCAAAAACAAACCCUCCCCUGUACAGAACCCCAAAUACACAAAUACCCGUUUCUCCCCCAAAAACGCCUGGUCUUUCACCCUACCCCCCCGGCCUGGGUGCUGCUCCCCCUGUGCCACCCACCCGGUGCCGUUGUCACCGUCCCCGUGCCACGGCAGGCAUUAAGCUUGACUGCGCCACCUCCGAGCUCCAUCCUUCUCUGCGUGCCCGGGGACCGCAGCGGCGCCGACGUCGCAUCUCCGACGGCUUCGGUGAGCCCCCAGGUGCCCCCCGGGUGGGGGACAGGGCAGAGCUCCCCCCCCGUCAGGCACCCCGCUGUC